UACAGAGGGUGCGAGCGUUAAUCGGAAUUACUGGGCGUAAAGCGCGCGUAGGCGGCUUUGCAAGUCGAGUGUGAAAUCCCCAGGCUUAACCUGGGAACUGCAUUCGAGACUGCAUAGCUAGAGUAUGGGAGAGGGAAGUGGAAAUUUCAGGUGUAGCGGUGAAAUGCGUAGAUAUCUGAAGGAACAUCAGUGGCGAAAGCGACUUCCUGGACCAAUACUGACGCUCAUGUGCGAAAGCGUGGGGAGCAAACAGG
rnacentral:rRNA from 1 species